AGACUGUGCCUCACUAGAUCGUCAAAAGACUGUUACCUGUAUAGUUCUAAAAGUUUGAAGGAAGAAAGACUUCCAAAAGAAUCAACCAAGUCUACUGAGGCACAGUUUGACUCAAAAGGAUCCAACUGCUUAGCAAAUGGAAAAUAACACUGUGGAGCAUUGACUGCAUUUGAAUACACCAGAAACUAAAAUACCACACUAUCCAGUUCAAUACAGGACACCUGGCAACCCCAUUU